rnacentral:rRNA from 1 species
UACGACUACAUAUCAGGCAUAUCAAUAAGCGGAGGAAAAGAAACUAACAAGGAUUCCCUUAGUAACGGCGAGUGAAGCGGGAAGAGCUCAAAUUUGAAAUCUUCAAGGUUCUACCUUGACGAAUUGUAGUUUAAAGAAGUGUUUUCUGUUAGAGGAGUAGCAAAAGUUCCUUGGAAUGGGACAUCAUAGAGGGUGAGAAUCCCGUAUUUGGUUAUUCUUUCUAGCUUUGUGAUACACUUUCAAAGAGUCGGAUUGUUUGGGAAUGCAGUCCAAAAUGGGUGGUAAAUUUCAUCUAAAGCUAAAUAUUGGCGAGAGACCGAUAGCGAACAAGUACCGUGAGGGAAAGAUGAAAAGAACUUUGAAAAGAGAGUUAAACAGUACGUGAAAUUGUCAAAAGGGAAGCGUUUGACACCAGUGUUGUUUUUCGAAAAUCAAUUCAAGAAGGUUUUGAUUCUUGUAGUAUUGACUUCAUCAGCUUGCUGCUUUCUUCUCAGAAAUUAUUGAAUGCACUUUUCAGUUAACAAGUCAACAUCAAUUUCUUUUGUUGUAAAAGGGUAAGAGGAAGGUGGCUUGCGCUUCGGCUCAAGUGUUUAUAGCCUUUUAUCUCUGCAAUCGGAGAGAUUGAGGUCUGCAGCGUAGAUCCUUCGGGGUUAGAUACAUUGGUGCUAAGCUAUAGCCUUGUAUAGACAACUUGUUGACUAUGCUCAGUCUUGUAGCUUACUCGCUUAUGCUAUUUUACCUACGCUUAGGAUGUUGAUCUACAGAGCGAGAGU